rnacentral:lncRNA from 1 species
GGCUUUAGACAUAGUGAUUUGAGAAUAAACAAGGAUCUUAGAGGUGGCCAAUUCUGAUCUGCCAUCUGCCCUCCAGAAUAAACAUUGUGCACUGGUU